UCCCAGACUCCUACGGGAGGCAGCAGUGGGGGAUAUUGCACAAUGGGGGGAACCCUGAUGCAGCGACGCCGCGUGGGUGAAGAAGCGCCUCGGCGCGUAAAGCCCUGUCAGCAGGGAAGAAAAUGACGGUACCUGACUAAGAAGCCCCGGCUAACUACGUGCCAGCAGCCGCGGUAAUACGUAGGGGGCAAGCGUUAUCCGGAUUUACUGGGUGUAAAGGGAGCGUAGACGGCAGCGCAAGUCUGAAGUGAAAGGCGGGGGCCCAACCCCCGGACUGCUUUGGAAACUGUGCUGCUGGAGUGCAGGAGAGGCAAGUGGAAUUCCUAGUGUAGCGGUGAAAUGCGUAGAUAUUAGGAGGAACACCAGUGGCGAAGGCGGCUUGCUGGACUGUAACUGACGUUGAGGCUCGAAAGCGUGGGGAGCAAACAGGAUUAGAUGCCCCAGUA
rnacentral:rRNA from 1 species